rnacentral:tRNA from 1 species
GCACCCAUAGCACAACUGGAUAAUGCGUCUGGCUACGAACCAGGAGAUUAGGGGUUCGAAUCCUCUUGGGUGCGCCA